rnacentral:rRNA from 1 species
ACCCGCACAAGCGGUGGAGCAUGUGGUUUAAUUCGACGCAACGCGAAGAACCUUACCAGGGCUUGACAUCCCCCGCUAUCUUUGGAAACAAGGAGUUCCAGGCUUCGGUCUGGACGGGGAGACAGGUGGUGCAUGGUUGUCGUCAGCUCGUGUCGUGAGAUGUUGGGUUAAGUCCCGCAACGAGCGCAACCCCUACUUUUAGUUGCCAGCACUUCGGGUGGGCACUCUAGAGGAACUGCCGGUGACAAACCGGAGGAAGUGGGGAUGACGUCAAAUCAUCAUGCCCCUUAUGUUCUGGGCUACACACGUGCUACAAUGGCCGGUACAGAGGGCUGCGAAGGAGCGAUCCGGAGCCAAUCCCAAAAAGCCGGUCUCAGUUCGGAUUGUAGGCUGCAACUCGCCUACAUGAAGUCGGAACCGCUAGUAAUCGCGAGUCAGCAUAUCGCGGUGAAUACGUUCCCGGGUCUU